UGCUAUUAUUGCACACACAAAAAAUGGUUCUGCACUUUGCAUUUAUUUGAUACAGAUGUAAAGAAACACAAAUCCCAGAAUGAGAACAAUUAUAGUACUAACUAAAGCGCUGCAUAUAAAUCGCAGGAUCGUGUCUUGUACAAACUUGGUUUUUCAAUCCUGUUCUGAAUUUAUUGAGUCAGGGCUUCUUUUCCUGCUUCAUGUUCCCCUGUAACCUAGCCAGCAAACGCGAGAUUGUUGGGUCAGCUACCUCCAAGGUUCUAUCUAGAAGAGCAUCCUCGACAAACUUAUGCAGAUCCAAUGAAUCUAUGAACCUGUCAUCUGUUGGGCGCCUUCCGGUGAACAUCUCAAGCAGCAAUAUGCCAAGACUAUAAAUAUCACCACAUUUUCAAAGGUGUUAUCCACCCGUCAACAAUGGCUGCUAAAUAAGGAUAAUGCCAAUCGGCAUGGCAGUUGGUGAGAUGGUUUUCGUCGGUACUCUUGCGUCCACCUGGGUUGUUCCUUCAGAAUACUAUCAAGGGAAAAGCUCAACGUUUCUGCUUUGAAGCGGCGUCCAUUUCUGCAUGAUUACAAUGGGGUUGAACAGAACAGCAGUAACCUCAUGCCUUGACGACCAUUCCUAGUGCCCUCCAGAUUUUCUGGUAUCAAGAGAUAUAUGGAGGAAAUGACUGUAUUAUAUUUACAAAAAUACUUCCAAAACCAUAAGGUGGAGUAAAGUUUGAUCAGGUGUUGUCCACGAUUGAUUUAAAGCCAAACCAUCAAUAAAAUGGUGGUUUGCUGUGAAAUGCUUACACACAGAUUGGCCUUAUACCCAACAUCUAAUUUAGUUGCCUGUUUUUCAAAUAUUCUCUGUCAUGGCAUGGCUUGCAAAUUAAAACGUCAGAUUUAAAAUAUGAUAUUCAGAACAAAUCCUUUUUCAGUUUAUGUGAACAACCCUGUAUACAUGUUCAAUUGGAAAACCAAGAUUAACCAUUUUCUCAGCUUACUCUGGGAGAUACAGCCUUCUUCGAAUGUAUAUACCAUUAUUUGCUCCUCUGGAGACAUGUAGCUGUAACAUGGUUUGAUUGGAGAUUGAGUAAGCAAAUUCUUUUCUAUCGCCUGGAGUUGCACCCCUUCCUUAUUUUGGCUCAUCUGCCAAAUAUAGAUACUGUCAACAUGUAAGCACAGAUCAAAGUUGAGGUCUGAUCAGUCACACUGAGAUUUAUGUGCAAAUUUGUUUUUUUUCAAAGGUAUACAGUACAGGACAAAUACAUGCUCAGGAGGUCGUCGCCUGGGAUUAGGAAGCUUGGAAUGCCGAGUGUUUGGCCCGCUCUACCCUGUAGCGUUUCAGCUCUUUGAUUGCCGCCAGUAGCACAUGCAAACACACUGGCGCAAAGAAUGGCUGCAAAAAGAUCACCAAAACAGAAUGUCAAUUUACAUGGCAGUUUGGACUUUAAUGACGCUGCAUGUAUGGUUAGAUCUACUGCGUUAUCAUUAAACACUUUCCAAAGGCACAACUGUCGAAUGACAGAACGAGUGAUACAAAGUCGUAC